GAUGAACGCUAGCUACAGGCUUAACACAUGCAAGUCGAGGGGUAACGAGAGGAAAGCUUGCUUUCCUUGUCGACGACCGGCGCACGGGUGAGUAACGCGUAUCCAACCUGCCCCCAACUAGGGAAUAACCCUGCGAAAGUAAGACUAAUACCCUAUAAUUUCCUCAGAUGUCAUCUGACGAGGAAUAAAGAUUUAUCGGUUGUGGACGGGGAUGGGUCUGAUUAGCUUGUUGGCGGGGUAACGGCCCACCAAGGCAACGAUCCGUAGGGGGUCAGGGAGGAAGGUCCCCCACAUUGGAACCGAGACACGGUCCAAACUCCUACGGGAGGCAGCAGUGAGGAAUAUUGGUCAAUGGGCGGAAGCCUGAACCAGCCAAGUAGCGUGCAGGGUGACGGCCCUAUGGGUUGUAAACUGCUUUUAUACAGGAAUAAAGUUAGCCACGUGUGGUUAUUUGUAGGUACUGUAUGAAUAGGGACCGGCUAAUUCCGUGCCAGCCGCCGCGGUAA
rnacentral:rRNA from 1 species